GACGAGUCUCACAAACGUUAUUCGGAAUUACUGGGCUUAAAGGGUGCGUAGGCGGUGAAGUAAGUCGGAUGUGAAAUACCUUAGCUUAACUAGGGAACUGCACUCGAUACUACUUUGCUAGAGUAAGACAGAGGUGAGUGGAACUGAGGGUGGAGCGGUGAAAUGCGUUGAUAUCCUCAGGAACACCGGUGGCGAAGGCGGGACUCUGGGCCGAUACUGACGCUGAGGAGGCGAAACG
rnacentral:rRNA from 1 species